rnacentral:rRNA from 1 species
GCGGUAAUACGGAGGAUCCGAGCGUUAUCCGGAUUUAUUGGGUUUAAAGGGAGCGUAGGCGGGUUGUUAAGUCAGUUGUGAAAGUUUGCGGCUCAACCGUAAAAUUGCAGUUGAUACUGGCGACCUUGAGUGCAACAGAGGUAGGCGGAAUUCGUGGUGUAGCGGUGAAAUGCUUAGAUAUCACGAAGAACUCCGAUUGCGAAGGCAGCUUACUGGAUUGUAACUGACGCUGAUGCUCGAAAGUGUGGGUA